UACGUAGGGGGCAAGCGUUGUCCGGAAUUAUUGGGCGUAAAGAGCGUGUAGGCGGCCAGAUAAGUCCGCUGUGAAAUCUCGAGGCUCAACUUCGAGCUGUCGGUGGAAACUAUCUGGCUAGAGUCCGGAAGAGGAGAAUGGAAUUCCUGGUGUAGCGGUGAAAUGCGCAGAUAUCAGGAAGAACCCCCGUGGCGAAGGCGGUUCUCUGGGACGGUACUGACGCUGAGACGCGAAAGCAUGGGGAGCGAACAGG
rnacentral:rRNA from 1 species